GCUCCUGGGAGAGGCCGCCUACGUUUGGCCUUGGAUUCCAGAGGCCUUACCACGACAGACGUUCGUCUUGGACCCUCCACCGCCUGCCCUGGACGUGGCGGCUCUCCCGUGGCUGCGGCCUCCCCUGUGCUCCUGCACAGGCCCCGGCGGCCCUCCGGUUCCUGCGGCCUCCCCUGCCCUGUGCUCCUGCGCUGGGCCCCGCGGCCCUCCCGUUCCUGCGGCCUCCCCUCCCCUGUGCUCCUGCGCUGGGCCCCGCGGCCCUCCCGUUCCUGCGGCCUCCCCUGCCCUCUGCUCCUGCGCUGGGCCCUGGCGGCCCUCUCGUUCCUGCGGCCUCCCCUCCCCUGUGCUCCUGCACAGGCCCCGGCGGCCCUCCGGUUCCUGCGGCCUCCCCUCCCCUCUGCUCCUGCGCUGGGCCCCGCGGCCCUCCAGUUCCUGCGGCCUCCCCUGCCCUGUGCUCCUGCGCUGGGCCCCGCGGCCCUCCCGUUCCUGCGGCCUCCCCUGCCCUCUGCUCCUGCGCUGGGCCCUGGCGGCCCUCUCGUUCCUGCGGCCUCCCCUCCCCUGUGCUCCUGCGCUGGGCCCCGCGGCCCUCCUGUUCCUGCGGCCUCCCCUGCCCUCUGCUCCUGCGCUGGGCCCCAGCGGCCCUCCCGUUCCUGUGGCCUCCCCUCCCCUCUGCUCCUGUGCGUGGCCCCAGUGGCCCUCCCGUUCUUGAGGCCUCCCCUGCACUCCUGCACGGGGCCCCGGCGGCCCUCCCGUUCCUGUGGCCUCCCCUCCCCUGUGCUCUUGCGCUGGGCCCCGCAGCCCUUCCGUUCCUGUGGCCUCCUCUCCCCUCUGCUCCUGGGCGGGGCCCCCGGCGGCCCUCCAGUUCCUGAGGCCUCCCCUGCGCUCCUGCACGGGCCCGGCGGCCCUCCCGUUCCUGCGGCCUCCCCUGCCCUCUGCUCCUGCAUGGGCCCCGGCGGCCCUCCGGUUCCUGUGGCCUCCCCUCCCCUGCGCUCCUGCGCUGGGCCCCGGCGGCCCUCCCGUGGCUGUGGCCUCCCCUCCGCUCCCCGUUGCACUGGUUCCCCAGGCGCCCCUUGGGUUCCAGGUCCUGGGCUGAGCUCCAAACACCGACGGUAA
rnacentral:lncRNA from 1 species